GAAAAGGACAGAAGUAGGAAGCCCUGUGACAAAUUAACAGAGCAUGCUAGGAAUGUUCUCAUUACAGCCGGCGGAGGUCCUUGAUGUGACAUCGAUCUCCCUGAAAAUAAAAUGUCAUACUCAGUCGUCCUCCAGCAGCAAAGGCGGCGAGCCAGGGAAGGUAAAGGCCUCUGAACUCCCUGAUCAUGGAGGAGCUGCUAUCCACGUGUCUCCACGUGACAGAGGAUUUGUUGAAAUACAUCUAAAUGGAGAGACAGGCUCAGACUGCAGCAACAAACAUAAUGCUAUAGUAUGACACACAAUGGCAACAACAGGCUUCCAGAGUAAGAAGCAAAGGCCUGGAAGAUGGGCACAAGUGACUGCUUCUGGAUCACAGACAUGGGAAAGUACGCCCUUAACUCGUGGUAAGAAAGUGACAAUGAGGUCUAAAACGUUAUUACCAUUAAGCAUCAAAUCUUGCAUGCAUGUCUCUGUUCCUGAAUUAUUAAAUGUUCUUUGUUAUCCUGUUCAUAAUAAACAUUUAAAAUGUAUCAAA